GGGGAUGACGUCAAGUCAUCAUGGCCCUUACGACCAGGGCUACACACGUGCUACAAUGGCAUAUACAAAGAGAAGCGACCUCGCGAGAGCAAGCGGACCUCAUAAAGUAUGUCGUAGUCCGGAUUGGAGUCUGCAACUCGACUCCAUGAAGUCGGAAUCGCUAGUAAUCGUAGAUCAGAAUGCUACGGUGAAUACGUUCCCGGGCCUUGU
rnacentral:rRNA from 1 species